ACCAGGAUGGCCGAGUGGUUAAGGCGUUGGACUUAAGCUCCAAUGGAUGGAAAUCCACGUGGGUUCGAGCCCUACUCCUAGUA